AAGUCGUAACAAGGUUUCCGUAGGUGAACCUGCGGAAGGAUCAUUCGCAAUAAAAGGGUUUUUUUAUAAUUCAUAGAAGAAAAAAAAAAAUCCUUUACCACCUUGAGUGCAAUGUAUGAGAAAAGGGGCCAUUUGGCUUGUCUGAAAUAAACAUAUUCUUUGAAUAACUUAAUUCAAUAAUACAACUUUCAACAACGGAUCUCUUGGCUCUC
rnacentral:misc_RNA from 1 species